rnacentral:misc_RNA from 1 species
AAGUCGUAACAAGGUUUCCGUAGGUGGUCAGAGGUGGCAUCCAUCGCCGGUGCAAGCACCAACUUCACGACACGUGCCGAGCCGAAACGAAUCGUCUUCGAACUCUUGGAAAGCGAACUGACCUCGAGCUCAAAAACAACGCAUAAUUGAAAGUGCACGGUUGGUUUAACGUGGAUACGAGAGUGAAACUGGAAGGGUACGUAACUCGACAGUUUCGACGUGGGGCUGGAAAACUCGAUUUAUUUCAAAGGACGAUCCGUUCUGGGCCGGAUCGAAAUUUGUGGUAAUGAGAGGGUUCUGGAACUCUACGGGGUAACUGUCUGAGUUGCACAUCCAUUUCAAACCCCUUAAAAAAAUUGACAUCCGAGACCUCAGGGUAAAACCGAGGCUCGAGCAACCGAACAACUGUUAACAAUGGAUAUCUUGGUUCUC